GAUGAACGCUGGCGGCGUGCCUAAUACAUGCAAGUCGAGCGAAGCGGGGGCGGGUGAGUAACACGUGGAUAAACUCCUUUAAGUCCGGAUCAACUUGGGGAAACCGGAGCGAAACCGGCUGUUCAUGGAUGGAUCCGCGCUGCAUGAGCUGGUGGUGAAGGUAACGGCUUACCAAGGCAACGAUGCAUAGCCGACCUGAGAGGGUGAUCGGCACCACUGGAACUGAGACACGGUCCAGACUCCUACGGGAGGCAGCAGUAGGGAAUCUUCGGCAAUGGGCGAAAGUCUGACCGAGCAACGCCGCGUGAGUGAUGAAGGUCUUCGGAUCUUAAAACUCUGUUAUUAGGGAAGCGGUAUCUAAUCAGAAAGCCACGGCUAACUACGUGCCAGCAGCCGCGGUAAUUC
rnacentral:rRNA from 1 species